AUGAACGCUGGCGGCGUGCCUCAUACCUGCCAGUCGCGCGAACAGACGAGGAGCUUGCUCCUCUGACGUUAGCGGCGGACGGGUGAGUAACACGUGGAUAACCUACCUAUAAGACUGGGAUAACUUCGGGAAACCGGAGCUAAUACCGGAUAAUAUAUUGAACCGCAUGGUUCAAUAGUGAAAGACGGUUUUGCUGUCACUUAUAGAUGGAUCCGCGCCGCAUUAGCUAGUUGGUAAGGUAACAGCUUACCAAGGCAACGAUGCGUAGCCGACCUGAGAGGGUGAUCGGCCACACUGGAACUGAGACACGGUCCAGACUCCUACGGGAGGCAGCAGUAGGGAAUCUUCCGCAAUGGGCGAAAGCCUGACGGAGCAACGCCGCGUGAGUGAUGAAGGUCUUCGGAUCGUAAAACUCUGUUAUUAGGGAAGAACAAAUGUGUAAGUAACUAUGCACGUCUUGACGGUACCUAAUCAGAAAGCCACGGCUAACUACGUG
rnacentral:rRNA from 1 species